CCCGAUUCCAGGGGAGAGGAGGAGGAGGAUGAGGAUGAGGAGGAAGAACCCCUCUCCAGAAGCAUUAACCUCGGCGGCCCAACGCGUCGCCCUCGUCGCCUGCGGGAGGUUCCACCCGUUGCUCGAAUCAAUUCAGCAGGGAUUAGUUGUGGAUGCAUACACGUACGGCGGGGACAUGGUUAGCUCGAGCUGUCUGUCCACGGAGAGCAGGAUGGAACGUGUGUGUAUAUGUACAUAACAAUGUAAAGUAGUCUUUAAAAUACUCCAUUGUGCAGUGCCUUUAGACGUUCCACUUUCUAUAAAGUCUUCAAAAAAAAAAAAGGUUGCAUAUAUAUAUUAUAUAUAUAUGAUGUAAUGUUAUAGAAAUAUAUGUAUAAUAUACAUAUUUUUUUUCCAGGGGUAUCUGAUAGCUCUGUAUUUUGUUAUGGAAGUUGAAAGAAAAAAAAAAGAAAAAAAAAAAAAAGUAUUUUACCUCAAAUUAAAAAGUUAAAUAAACCUUUUAAAUAAGCA